rnacentral:rRNA from 1 species
UACGUAGGGUGCGAGCGUUAAUCGGAAUUACUGGGCGUAAAGCGUGCGCAGGCGGUUCGUUGUGUCGGUGGUGAAAUCCCCGGGCUUAACCUGGGAACUGCAUUUGUGACUGCAUAGCUAGAGUACGGUAGAGGGGGAUGGAAUUCCGCGUGUAGCAGUGAAAUGCGUAGAUAUGCGGAGGAACACCGAUGGCGAAGGCAAUCCCCUGGACCUGUACUGACGCUCAUGCACGAAAGCGUGGGGAGCAAACAGG